GGAUUAGAUACCCUGGUAGUCCACGCAGUAAACGAUGAGUGCUAGUCGCUGGUGCAAUGGCAUCAGUGUCGAAGCUAACGCAUUAAGCACUCCGCCUGGGAAGUACGGUCGCAAGAUUAAAACUCAAAUAAAUUGACGGGGGCCCGCACAAGCGGUGGAGCAUGUGGUUUAAUUCGAAGCAACGCGAAGAACCUUACCAGACCUUGACAUGGUAUGUUUGAAUUACAGAAUCGUAAUUCUUCAGUUCGGCUGGCAUACACACAGGUGCUGCAUGGCUGUCGUCAGCUCGUGCCG
rnacentral:rRNA from 1 species